rnacentral:rRNA from 1 species
GACGAACGCUGGCGGCGUGCCUAAUACAUGCAAGUUGAGCGCUGAAGGUUGGUACUUGUACCAACUGGACGAGCAGCGAACGGGUGAGUAACGCGUGGGGAAUCUGCCUUUGAGCGGGGGACAACAUUUGGAAACGGAUGCUAAUACCGCAUAAAAACUUUAAACACAAGUUUUAAGUUUGAAAGAUGCAAUUGCAUCACUCAAAGAUGAUCCCGCGUUGUAUUAGCUAGUUGGUGAGGUAAAGGCUCACCAAGGCGAUGAUACAUAGCCGACCUGAGAGGGUGAUCGGCCACAUUGGGACUGAGACACGGCCCAAACUCCUACGGGAGGCAGCAGUAGGGAAUCUUCGGCAAUGGACGAAAGUCUGACCGAGCAACGCCGCGUGAGUGAAGAAGGUUUUCGGAUCGUAAAACUCUGUUGGUAGAGAAGAACGUUGGUGAGAGUGGAAAGCUCAUCAAGUGACGGUAACUACCCAGAAAGGGACGGCUAACUACGUG